rnacentral:rRNA from 1 species
GACGAACGCUAGCGGCGUGCCUAAUACAUGCAAGUAGAACGCUGAAGGAGGAGCUUGCUUCUCUGGAUGAGUUGCGAACGGGUGAGUAACGCGUAGGUAACCUGCCUGGUAGCGGGGGAUAACUAUUGGAAACGAUAGCUAAUACCGCAUAAUAGUAGAUGUUGCAUGACAUUUGCUUAAAAGGUGCAAUUGCAUCACUACCAGAUGGACCUGCGUUGUAUUAGCUAGUUGGUGAGGUAACGGCUCACCAAGGCGACGAUACAUAGCCGACCUGAGAGGGUGAUCGGCCACACUGGGACUGAGACACGGCCCAGACUCCUACGGGAGGCAGCAGUAGGGAAUCUUCGGCAAUGGACGGAAGUCUGACCGAGCAACGCCGCGUGAGUGAAGAAGGUUUUCGGAUCGUAAAGCUCUGUUGUAAGAGAAGAACGAGUGUGAGAGUGGAAAGUUCACACUGUGACGGUAUCUUACCAGAAAGGGACGGCUAACUACGUG